CCGAGCUGCCACCUACACCCUGCUCCCCGUGGCGUGCUGCAGCUCGCUGCUCUCGAGUGAGACCCAGAAGGAAAUAUCUUUGUUUCCUCGCUAGCAGAAGGAUUAGCCAAGAGGCUUCUCUCCACACAGCUGCUGAGGCAGAUCAGGUGUAAUCCUCAGCAGGUGCAAUGCCUUGGCCCUGCUGGUGCUCAGGGAGCGGAGCUGAGCCGUGCCUGCAAAGGACCUGGCCAGGCACAGCCCGUGCAGGUCCCUGGGCUUGGUGGUGGCUCCGAGCUGUUCUCUAGCAGGAGAGACUUCCCACAGCUCUCUGGCUCAUUUUCUAUCCUGCUUUCGUACCCGUGUGUUUAGCACUCCGUGCUGCAUGUGAUUUUAAGCUUGGGUUUUGAUGAACAAGUUUGCUUAAGGGAAAUGGGUGCCAGGAAGGCUGAUGUCUGUGUCCUAGGGACAAAGAUGGAGCUAGGUGGAAACGCCUCUUCAGGCCCAUGGUUAUUCCAGUGAAAACAAAUUCUUUCUUUGCUCAUGCAGAGAUUUUCAAGGACUGACAGGCAUAUAUUUUUAUUACCGUUAAAAUACCACAAAUUUAAGUGCUCCAGUUGUCCUGGAGAGACAGACCUGAUUUAAGUUUCUCCUUUUGAAAGAAGCCAUUGAAACUUUCUGAGCUUUCUUCUGUCUUGAGGGAUGUUCUGGGACGUCGCAUGCAAACAAUGCUGCUCUGCUUUCAAGAUGCAGCGAAAGGUUUUCUAGGCACCUGAGGCACACGUUCAGCUGCUCUUAUUUCUUGUCCUUCCCAGGGCUGCCUGCUGGGUGCUUGCUUCUCUGGGUGAUGCACCCACCUGCCCAACAUCCCCAGGGCAGCAGGGUCCUGCCUGGCCUUGGCUUUGAGCAGGAGGUGGCCCUAUGGCAUCGGCCAUUUCACCUGCCCUGAACCCGGUGCUGCUGCACUUCCAAGGCCUUUCAAGAUGCCUUUAGUCCAGAUAAGGCUUGGAGGGCGAAGAGGCAACAAAAGCACUUAAUCCAUUUAACUGCCAGUGGAAACCUCGGCAGUGAAGAGAGCAAACCAUUGGGGGAAGACUUCUCUGCAGUUGUAUACUGGGGAUUUCCUACAGCUGCAGCCCUCCCUGACUGUGUGUUCUGACUUCGUAGUGAUCCUAUAGCCACAAGGAGCAUACAUCCCCAGGUAUAACAACGAGUGAAGAAAUGCCAGUCCAGGAGCUCGGACCACAUGGAUCCAGGCCUUUAAAUGCCAGAACUCCAGCAGGCUGCCAACAGGGGCUGGGAAUCUGACCGUGUUAUUACCAGAAUCUGAAAGGACUUAGUGGGUCCCAGCUAAUUCAUCACACCAGUCAGCCCUCCUUUACCUCCCCUAAAAGCCAUUUUUUGAGUGACUGUAAAGGUCUUUAGAAAUGAGACCCCUCCAAGAUCUACACUAUGUCUCAAACUCUGCAGUGGGUGAUGUGAGUGUGAUGGUGUCUUUUUUGUUGUUCUGGGGAUGCACCACUACACUCAUUCCAAAGCUUGCCAAGCACCUGAGGCCCCCACCAGACCUGGCCAGAGCUGCAAGCUUUGCAAAAGUAAAAUUUUUUAUUUAUUUGUUUACAUGCAAAUCUUAGUUAGUUAAAAAGGAGUUAGUGCUCCUUAUGGAGAGAGCAGUUUUUCCCUUGUUGAUUUACUAUUCUAAUGGGCGCAUCCUUAGGUAGCACACGUGAAGGUCAACUCAAUUUGUUUAAACCCAAUAAAGAACAAAUUACUGCAGAAAAAAAAAAGCCCAUUAAACUGAGCAUACCUGGCUGCUUUCAUAUGAUGAUUGCUGCAUCUCUUCCAUCUGUGAAUGCAGGAGCCGGAAACUAUUUAUGUAAGGUGGGAGCCUUCUGGAUCCAGCCCAUGUGGGGAUUUGUCAUUGCAUUUGUCUUUGGCUUCAAGUCUCUUUCUUUUGCCCUUGAGUGUUUCUUCAUAUAAGCAGUUUUACCAAUGAUGUUCCCUCCUGCCCUGCUUAAGAGAUGGCUCAUUGUUUACCAGGACAUAUUUAGACACUGAAAAUAUGCUUUUCUUUCAAGAGAGCUUCUGAUGCGUGUUGAUUUGAGAUCUGCAUCAGCAAAUGAGAUUGGGAGGGAGAAAAAACAAACAGGGCUAAGGGGAAAAAAUAGCUUCAUGUUCAACAUCUACUAAUGAAGGCUGUCCAAUUAUGGAAAUCUGCUUUCAAAAUCUUAAGUUUGUUGGGAACAAUGGGAUCUUCUUUCUUCUCAGAUCUCUUAUGGCAGUCUCAGUGGCUGGGCUUUGACAACUUUGACGCUGGCUUGUGCUGUCACCGUGGGAGAAAAUCAACUUCAACAGAAACUUAUGUGAAGUUUGGGAUGACCUCUCAUCAUGCUGCAGGAGCUUUUCAGCACAUACUCACCUUGCUCUUUCCAGAACUGCUGUCCAUCAGAUGUUUUUUAAAGCUCAGGGUAUAAUGCUACAACUGCUUCCUUGGUCUCAUUGGGAAUUUCCCAGGCCACAGGCUGUCCUGAUAAAACUGAAGGGAGACACAAAGAGCACAGACCCUGCACAGCAUAGAAAUUUGAGAGUGAAAGAAUGGCAUCACCCCACAUUUUAUUUCUGUGAUUGAAAUCAUAGUAAUGUGCUUACACAAGUGAUGAAUGCAGCUGGUCUUUGUGGUCCUGGAGUCUGGUUCUCUGCUCUUCUUUCAUAGCACUUGGGUUGUGUCAGCUUCCCACUGCUAGGAAAUGGGAUUCUUUGCUCACAGUGGGAUAAAUCAGGCAUGACUGCAUUGAAAAUUAUGGUGCUGCUGGUGUGACAGGUUAAUUGAUCCCUAAACGUCAUCUUUCAGCAGGGCUUUGCAGAGCGUUCAUCACUGCUCUUGCAGGCCGUGCCACCAGUGUGGUUUUCUUUCCUACGAAAACAUAACAUUAUUUGAAGAAGUAGUAGAUUUUUGUAUGAGGGGGAAGGUGGGGGAGUUUCCAACAAAAGAACCACUGAAGCAGCCCAGCCCACAUCCUCUGCAUGCUCCAGAGGGAAGCAGAAGAAUACCCAGUGUAGAAGGGUGUGUGAUAGCAGAUGCUGUGCACACAGUCUGUGCAGAGCUGCUAUAUGGAGUUAGACGACGUUUUUAAAUAGGACACCAAAUGACCCUCCUGAUAUGCGGGGUUAUUUCUGAUAGUCCUUAUUCUGCUUCUUUGCCAAAUAUUGCCAUGCUCUGGACCUGCUGAGAGGGGUUCCAAAGCUAAUCUGUGCAUUACAUGGAAACAGCGUUUCCUUCUACGGCUUCGUCUUGAAUUUCUUCGUAGGGCUCUUCCAAAAACCAGGGAACAAAAAUUCCUGGGACUGUCAGGCCGAGGUGCUGCCUCACCAGCCAAGAAACCUUGAUUUUGAGCCAUGUAGAACUGGAGGGUUACUUUGGAGACAGACGUUCAAUAGCAAUAACUAUGUAGAUGCUGGCAAGAAUUAAUUACAAACCCUGGCUGCAACUGACCCCUCCUCACCAAGGGGACUUGCUGAAAUGACCUUGCAGGGAAAGCAGCAGGCAAGGAAUGAGCCGAAGGACACCCACCACGCAUCCCCCUGCCAGGGCUUGCUGCAAAAAUUAAAAUGGGCUGUCCCUUCCCUCCUCCUAUCCUUUGCCUCUUGCUGCAUUUGAACUUGCUACAGCAACCCUUGCAGCUAAUGAACUGCGUUUUGGUAAGAGCCGAGCUCUCCAGCACCAAAUCAUCUGCUGCCUUGGUGUUUACAUUGCACUUAGAUAUGUUGCAUCAACAGUCAGCCUUGGCUCCUGCUGUGCGCUCACAUGGAUGUGCUCCCUCCUCUGCGAAGCGCUGCAGAGAGCUCGCUUUCCCACUUCUUGAGGCACUGGGAACGCUUCCCUGUGAAUUAACCCAAGGAGGGAGGCUCGCAGAGGAAGUGGGUCAGCAGGCUCCGCGUUGGCAGCAGCCAGGAGAGGAGCGAACAAGCACAAAGAGGAGUUGUGGGCGACUGCUAUUAAGGACUCUCCACAGAGGAAUUUGUUGAAUGCUGCUAGCGAGGCUGCUGGGGAAGUUCGCAGAGUCCCUCCCCGCGCUGGCAGCGGAGGCAAGGAAGCAGCCGUGAGAAGGAGGCACUCGGUGCACAAGUGAGAAAGAGGAGACGUGAAAAUCCCUCAGCUGAACACUUGGGCGGUGAUUCGGCACUCCCACCCUCCAAGAUGUGAAGGAGUGUUUGUAGGCAAGCCCUUCAGCUGUGGGAUCCAAGCACAGGCAGGCAGGCUUGCUGCGUGCUGAUGCAGUCUGGGCUGGGUGUGAUGCUGGCGAGCUGCUGGCUUCUGCUUGCAAGGAGCACUCGGUGGGAGUGAAGUGUACAGAAAAAUCACUAUGGAUCCUGCAAGAAGGUGGCCUGUAGGGAGCAGGGGCUUGUUUAUGCACAUGCUCUUAAAGGCCCUAAGGCACUGCAGGUACCAGGGAUGCGCUCCUGUGAAAUCCCGCUGCUCGCUGCCAACUCUGGGAGCCCUUCCGUAGACAGGUGGCUGCAGUUUUAAUUAAACCUGCUUGGACCAGCUAUGUAGUGAGGAGUUUAAAGCAACAGCAAUUAUAAGCUCUUAAUCCAUUGCAACGUGGGAGUGGAAGACGGUUUGCUAACCAAAAUAGUUCUGCAAACUGGGCCACAAAGCAGUAAAAGGCGAGUCCUGGGAAGACUGAAGAGGACAAGCAGCUGAUCAGGAUGGGGACAGGGUGAGGAGAUUUUGUGGAAAGGCAGAGCAGAGCCUUCAUCUUGUGGUGCAGAGGCAGUGGUAACAGCUGGCUUGUUUCUUCAGCUGGUGUAGAUCAGUCUCAGCCAGUCCAGAAAAUGAGCUGUAAUCAUCUAUCAAUGAAAGCCUCUGUUUGUAGCAAGCUGGUAAACAGUCACGAUUUGGGAUCCCCCUGAAGAAAGGACUGAAUAUUUACAUGAAAGGAGUGGCCGUUGAAUUAACUCUUUGUGCCCAUUUCCUCCCUUAUAUUUUGGCAGUCGGGUUUAUCUUGUCUUCUUCCACCUUCCUAUCAUGCAGGCAUGAAUACACCAACCUGAUGCCAAGCACUGACGGGAUUCUUGUGUCCAGGGCACACAACGUGUGAUAGCAACUAGAAGCUUUUGUGAGGCUGUGAAGGCAGAACGAAUUUUCUGCUCUCCAGUUUGUACAACUUGUCCUUAGGACUGCGAAAUGCAAAGACAAAUUCAUCCGUCAAAUGCCAACUGCACACAAUGCUGUAGCAGGGACUGGGGCUGAGCCGUCAGCAGCAGGGACAGUAUUUGGGAGCCUCUUGUUAGAUCUGAAAACAAAGUGGGGAGAGGAAAAGUUUACCCUGUUUUAAGCCUUUUCUGGAGCUGUAGCAAGGUGUUAAUGGUACAGGGCAGCAAAAAGAGGACACAGUAAGUCUGAAAAAUUGCCCACUGUGCAAGGAAAGCAUCCUGACUCGGCUGUUUGUCCACCUUUCAUCCAGUGCCUGGACCAGAGGGAGACAAUACCCUCACCUCAGACCCCCUUUCAAAAUGUAGGGAAAUGUCCAGUCUCCAGAAACUAACAGAAAAGAAAAGCCCAAAACCCAGCCAGGCUUUGCAUUUUCUGUAGUCUCAGGUGUUCUGCAUCAUCCAGGAGUCCUUACUCCCUGGCCACCAAGCAAAAGGAAAUGAAAUACACUAAAGAGGCAAAAACAUGAAAGAGGCAGGAUGAGGAUUAUGUGAUCAGGAGCUUCCUCUUGCCUGGGACAAGCAAACCCAGACCUGCACUUCCACCCGCUGCCUGUGUCGCCCACACAAGCUCUCCUGGCAUGGGAGCGAGGAGCACAAACCCACCUCCUCCUUUUGUGGUACUUCCUUCUGCCACUCCCCGGCCACUGUUCCAGCAGAUUGUGGGUGGUCGUGGCUCUGGUUUUUGGGUCUCCCCUGCCUUUAGGGAUAGUGCUGUUGCCACCUGCACAGCCCACCCUGUUUGUUGCAAGAGGGAAUCGUGAUAUCUCACCUCCUGUAAUGCAGGGACAGAAGAUCCUUUUUUUCCUUCUGUAUAUCCCUGGGACGUGGGCCACCAAGCAGCAAAGCAAUAACACACGUGCUUAAUUUGACAGAGAAGUUUUAAGUCCCAGUGACUUUGCCUCAUUCUCAUUGUCUCCCUGAGAAUGGGAUGAGGGAUCUGACAAUUUCUCUGGCUUAUUAAAUCACUCUCUCUAUUCUCUUAAGGUUGCUUCACUCGAACAUACACACCAUGGAUUUCUCUGCUGGCUUGUCAUCUGGAUGAUAGCUCUGGCUUUAUUUCUUUAAGAUAGAUAUCACCUGCAGCAGCAAGAAGCAUUUCCCUAACUAGAGCUGCUCGGUGACUAUUAAUCUCUGGCUGAGCCCUUGUGUCAAGUACCUCCUUCACAGAACCGAGUCAACGUAACGUUCAGCAGCUGAGGUGUGCGUGAUUUGAACACUUCCAAAUCUUCCCUGCCCCAAAUGAUGAAUUCAUGCAGGCCAGUGUAUUGCCAGACGUCACAAGAAGUCUCCAAGAGGCAGAAGACAUUAGAAGAUGCCAACUUCAUUGCUAGACCUUUGUUAUUGGCAGUGGUGGUUUUGUUAUUUUUUUUCCAAGGAGGGAUUCUCUGAGCUUUGCUGACCUAAGCAGCUCCUUUUUCUGUGAUGCUUCUGAUUCAGAAGAACUCACAAGGCCCACGACUGGGGGACUUAGUUCUGAUUUUCACUAAUAUCUGAGCCCCUCAACCCAAAAAGAAUGGGGCAUGGCUGUCACUGCCAGCCAGGAGAUGAAUGACUGGGCUUACAGCAAGAAUUUGGAUCCAGAACAAGAAUUUCCAGUUAAGGUCUCCAAGAUGAAAUCUACUGGCUCAUCCCUGCCUCCAAGGAAGGGCCUGAUUAUUUGUAAUAAAUUCAGCAUUCAGGAGUAUUGUUACAUGAGCCCACAGAGAUCCCAGCUGAGCUUAAUGCCCAUUGUGCUUGCUACUGGGGCAUUGCAGAAGACGCAUUCUCCACCCUAAAUACCGGAAAACAUGAAAGGCAAACCGGGACUCAGGGCUUUGAGUCAGGACGUGCAGAAAAAGAGCUCUGCAUUCGCAUGCCAGUGCAGCCAGGUAGCACUGGGUGAUUUCCAGCUAUUUGUCCGUGUGGAAAAACAGGAAUGUGAGUGCUACACGCAGAUGGUAUCAGAACGUAUCCUCCCCUAUGAAAAACUAACAUGAAGUCUCACUCUCAUAUAUCACAACCCAAAUCUGAAAUUAGCAUAUUAAGCUGAGACUAUCUGAUAAAAUAAAGCACAUCCCUUCUCAAUGAAAGAGAUGCUCUACAACACUUACUUGUACCUCAGAAUGAAAAAACAUGGAAAUUACUCCCACCCUCGUGUUUAUUUUUGGGAAGAAACUUCCUACCCCCAGCGCCUGUCCGAUGAGGUUUUAACUGGUUUCAAUUACAAACAUGUGCCAGGGAGGCAUCUCUGCAGCCACUGAGUCUUGCUGCGGCAGGGAAUUGCCUCCUGUGAUCCCCGCUUGUGAAUUUGUGAGCUCUGCACUAUGGCACACCACAAAAUAACUCAAGAAACAAUGCUGAAGUAUCGUUGCUGAGUCCCUUCUGACUUCACUUGUAUCAUGGAGAUAAAUUAAAGCACAGUAAGGAACAGCUUCCUGGAUGCCUGAUGGCAUGCACGCAGCAUAUUUUAAGAGAGAUACAGGGCUUUGAAUCACUCGUGAAACUGCAUUUGCUUCAUAAAUCCAUGCCAGAAGACGGACUAAAGAGAAUUUCUAAUUGUGCAAGCCACCUGGAGACACUGGUACUUCACUCAGUAAGUGCCCCUUUCAUUAAAGUUCCAGUGCCCUGUAUUUAUCACGACCAUAGUUCCCAGGUACAAAUUGGGAAAGGAUUGACCGUGGCCAGUAGGAGCUCUAUCCACUCCAUCACUUACCUUGGUCGAAAGUGCUCUCACCUUUGUUUUUAACGCCAAAGACACUUUCUGGGAAAGACAAAAGCAGAGUUGCUUAGUGAUAGGAUAAUUCCCACCCAGCUGGGCUAACAUGACUCUUUCCCCAUCCUGCAAGAUGAAGAUUGGACUUAGGAGUCCUCCAGAGCUUUCUUAUAACCACUACAAGAAGCUAUGGCUCUAUUUUUUUUAUUAUUUUUUUUUUUUUUUUUUUUUGCUGAGGCAGAUAAUGCAGAAAGCAGUAAGCAUCACAGCACGGGCAUUUCUGAUAGCUGGGUGCACAAAAAGCUACCAAAUACUGUCACGGUUUGGAAACCCAUCUCAACUUGCAAAAGACAGCUAUACUAUUUUCCCUUUAUAGCCGUUCUCCAGACAAAAGAAAACACAGCUUUAUCUCAUCAGCAUCUCUGUGCAGAUGUAAAAACCCCAAGCAGAAAAGCUGUGCGGAGUCACACAUCAAAUAUUUGAAAUGUUUAGGGUGUGGAGGGUUAAUUGGGUCAUCAACACAAGGCUGAGCACUCCCACCCUUCUGCCUUCCCCACUGAUCUUUGCCCUUUUUCACAGCUAUUUCUCAUGAAGGCUGGCAGUAGUAAGCAUCUUCUAGGUCCCUCCUGUCCAUUCCAGCAUCUACAGCUUUAGAGACAGCAUCCAAGAAGCUAUUCUCUGACAGGGCACAAGUGGGAGAUAUAUACAGCUCUGCAAGUUAUUUCUAUUUAUUUGCUUGUAAACAGAGUUGCAUUCCUCUGAUUCUUUAAAGCCGAAGUCACUUCCAACCUCCCAGUUUGCCAGCAGCACUGUUCUCACUGCUCUGAAACUCCCAGAACCCUUCCUGCCUCCCCUAUUGCUCCUGCAGCUGUUGCAGAGCUCGAACUGGCAUUUCAGCUCUGACUCAGGCAGGUUUUCGAUGCGCCAGCAGAUUCUGGCAUGUGGGCUCCUCAUUGCAAUACCUACAGUGAGGAGCUCAUCGUCUGAGACUGCACAGAAAGUUAAACCCACAGCCUGACAGCAAGGGCUCUGCAAGCCAGGGUGAGAGCAGAGGUGAAACUUUUCAACACCUCUCAUCUCCUCACAGGUGUCUGCCAACACUGUGCCUUGGGAGCUGGAUCUCCGUGUCUGUGCGCUGUAGCUUCUUACCCAAGCCCUGCCAUUUUCCUUGCUCCAAAACAGCAAAUACUUUUCAUUUCCUCUGUGUUCCACUUUAAGAUGGGCUCGGCCCAUUCUCAUUGCAGCGGAUGCAUCGUUUCAGAGGGUACCUGGCUCUUCUUGGCCCUGUCAGAGGGGAAGCCCCUUCCCCAGAGCAGACCCGGGAGCUGCUCUGCAGGGACCCAGUGCCCCCAGCACACCACAAAAGCACCCUGGAGCCGGCAGGAGGGAGCAGCAAUCAGUCGUAACCUCGUGUGGUUGUGUCAACACAGUGCUGGUGCUCUCAAACUCAUUUUUAAAGGCCUCGUGUAAGGACAUCAGCACCUUCCACAUGCUGUGAUAUACUAGGAGCUUCUACUGCUUUUCUGAUCAGAUUUUGGGUAAAGGAUGUGGCUCCUCUGCGUCUUGGUCCCCUUUGCAGCGUGGCACCACUCCAUCCCCUGCCUCCUGGCACUCAGGACAGGGCCCUCACCCUGGGGAUGUCCCCGCAGAAGGGGCCCGACCUCUGCUGUGGCUGCUGAGGGUGAUAUGGGAAAUAGUAAUGAGGCUGCCUUUCUCCCCCGCCUGGGAACUAGGUGAGGGACAUCAUCCCACUUGACAUAUCAAAAGGGAAAAGCAGGCACAGAGAGGAGAUGGGAUUCGCUCCAGGUCACACAGCCGGUCAGUGGCCAGGAACAGGAGCCAGCUCCCACUUCCCUUCUCAGACCCCUCUUCCCCCCGCUCCCCGCGGAUCUCCUCGAUGUGCUUUAAUCGCCAGACCGUGUUUGUUUUCAUGGUCACGCAUUCCUCCUGCACAGCACACCCCCGCGACAUCGGAUCCUCGUUGCCUUGGCCGGGCAGGUGGGUGGAUAACAAGGAGAAAACGUUCAGAUCCCCAAGCCCCUUCCAAGUCAGGAAUUCUGCUCGCCUCUGGCACCGAGAAUCUCCUGGGGCGCCUCGAGACUUUCUGACUCCGUGUCCCACCAGCGCUGCCUUGCCCUCGAGGAAAGCAAGCAGGCAGCCAGCUUUAAACCUGAACUGGCAGGCAGGAAACUCAGUGCGUUGCCUGAAGAAGACUCAAACUGAAAAGGGGCUGAAAUGUGCAGAGUCCCGAAGGGAGGGAGGAGAGCAAAAACCUCUUUGCAGUGUGAGGAUGUGGCUGCAUGUCACUGUGACUCAGCAGGACGCCGGCUGGAAAGGCCCCGGCACUUGUUUGUUAGCACGUGUUUGAACUCCGGUGAAAAACGAGUUGACAGCCUCCCCGCACCUCUCGCUGGGCUCCAAGCAUAACUUUCUGUGGAAAAUAUAGUGCCCUGUGCAAACAGGCAUCCUUUACCUCCAGCAUGGGGGAGUGCAGGGGAUCAUGUUUUAUUUUGACACAGCAGCUUGUGGUGCCAAAAGGCUUGGGAGAACAGACUACCAGAAACAGCUGGCUUCAGCCAAAAAAAAGGGAAUUAUAUUGCAGAAGCAGGAGGCCUGGGGACAGCUACACUCUGUGGUGGAGGUAACAGAGGAGGGCAAUAAAGUUUGGCUGGUGACAGAAGCUCUGCUGCUCCCUCUUGAAGGGGAGAGGCAGUGGGACCCCCAUGAGCUGCAAGGCUGCAGGAGUAGGGGUGCAGGGAGGGUCCCCAGCUCCAGACACCCUCUCACCACCUUCCCUGGGCAGGCACUGCGGGAAGGAGCAGCGCUGCUUCCAGGCACCGUGGCUGCAUCUGCUUGGUGGCUCUGCCCACAGGAAUUGGGAGUUUGGUGAUCCAAAGGGCAGUGUGAUGUGGCAUCAGAAAAAAGCACACAUUUGUCAGAAAAAAGCACACAUAAAAUAGUUCUGUUUCAUGGAGGAGAAUCUUGGGUCCUGGUUUCAUCUGCACACCGACUUGGCUCCAUGCUUGGGACAUCUCAGCUUGGUCUCCGCAUUGCAGCAGAUCCUUCUGCUCUACCCACCGAACUCCAAGAGGGUGAGCGAGCCUGCAGGGAAACAUCUGAUCAAGACUGUUCCCUGAAAAGAAAGACCUCAAGAAGAAGCAGGAAAUGCCCUAAGCAUUGCUGACAGAUUCCCCAAAGGUGCUUUCAGGCCGUGCUUACUAAAGCAUCGCUAGCAUUGCACACAUCGCAACCACCACCCAGCACCAAAACUGUGGCAAGGUGCAAUGCUGCUGGCAGCUUUCUGCCUUGCCUAAAGCCAACCUUAAAAUGUCCUCCAUAACCCAAGCAAAGAUAAUAUAAGAGCGACAUUUCACAGAGCACACUUGUUCACUGUGUCACUGGCCGAUCAGAAGCUGUGGUCAAUCUGAAAUUUGGCGCAGAGCUGCUCUUUAGCAAUAUAGAGGCUACAAAUUUUCCUGAGACACACAUUAAAAAACCCCUCCAGUCACCAUGACAUCAGACCCUGUAAAUUUUGAUCUGUCUCUUGGAUGCUAAUGCCAGCAAGCCGUUGCUGUUAAUUGCAAGUGUUACUUGCAGACUGUAAAUGGUGAAAUCACUCUAUUUUUAAAAGAGACUUCUGAUGUAGGGUACCAUGUAAAUAUUUAUGUUAUCUCUGUGAAGGAAUGCCUUGCAAUCAGACAACCCACACAAAGGCAAAUGAACUCAUCAAAAGAAACCACAACUGAAAUGUGAACAGUAAGAAAAAUGUCAAAGCCUUCCUUCUGAGCAAACCUCGGCCCAGGUGGCAGCGGGGUGUUUGCCUCACGAGAGAAGAGAUUUUCUAGUUCACAGAUGCUUCCAGAUUAGGAACAAGCUGGGAAAUCUGGCCCAGUCCAUCCUGGGACUCAGGAACUCGAUUCUCAUGGAAGCACAGGGCAUUGGGUGGCUGAAUUUACUGGGAUGUUAUUAGAAGGUGACCGGGACACUGCCACCACUCAGACCCAAACACAGGCUUCAGCUGCUGUCUUUUGUAACACCUGGACCUGCUCUGAACCGAAUGUUUUUUCUCCUGGUCACAGUCCCCUUUCUUAAUUCGGUAGCAGCAGAAAGUCUGUGUUUUAUCAGUGUGGCUUCCCUUGGUUAGCUUCAUAUUUUAUAUCAAAUAUGCCCAGCACCAAAACAACAUGAAAACUUUGUAGGAAGAUCGCUGCUAUCAAGAAAUCCAGUUACAUUUCUAUACCCAGAGGAAAAUAGAGAUUUAACCUAUGUUAAAGGCCUGGGGUGGGCUUCUUGCUCUUGGGGAAAUCUGUUUGAAGGAGCGAUGAAUUGAAUCUGUUUAGGAAACUUGUCUUCUAGCCCUUGGUAAUUCACCUAGGCAAAGAAAGCCAAAGUGCUUUAUAACAGUGACUUUGUUUUGGUUUUUGUUUGUGUUUGUCUAAGAGCUCCUAAACUAACAGAGCCAGCCGUGCCUUCCCAAAACAACACACUUGCUAGAUCACAACCAAGGGUCCUGCUUUCAAUUUAAACUACCUGGCACGUGAAGAAAGUUGCUACUGACAUCUGGACUUGCUAGCAGAUGUUCUAAGGAACGGCAAAGGAGAAAAAAAAAAAAGUCCUGAGUAUCUCCAGCAGGAGCUUAAAGUAGAAGAGAUGACAGGCAGCAUGCAGAAGAACCGGAUCUCUGAGCAGCACUGAGACCCACAGAGGUGCCAAUGAACAGCCUUUGCCAUCUGUUUUUUUUGUGGAAAGAUGCUCCCAGAACCUUAGCCCAUGAUAUUCAUUAAUUAUAGAAUCAUUACGGUUGGACAGGACCUCCAAGAUCACCUGGUCCAACCACCCCCUACCACCAAUGUCACCACAGAGCUGUGUCCCCAAGCACCAUGUCCAACCUCUCCUUGAACACCCCCAGGGAUGGUGACUCCACCACCUCCCUGGGCAACCCGUCCCAAUGCCCAACUGCUCUUUCUGAGCAGAAAUGUCUCCUAAUUCCCAACCUGAAAUUCUGUGACUCUAAUUAGGAUUAGGGUUUGGAGAGAGAGAAAGCACAGAGUCCUGCUGUGUGUGUAAAGGCUGCCAAAGGACAUUCAGGUCUCCCCAAAGGCCUCUGUUGUGAGCACUAUUUCCUGGGAGACUUAGGUGGGGUCAGUGUAGCUAACACAUUGUCUUCGUGUUUGACUCCAGCCCGUGCACUGGGUAUAGAUGUGGGCUCUCUGCCAGGCACAGAAUUCCCCAGGGCGUUUGCUUAUCCCAGUAACAGACUCAUCAGCACCAGCAAUCGAUAUCCAGCGGGUCACCAGCUGACCUGACUGCCUGCAGUGUCCUGUACUGCUCUCAGCCUGGGGUCUCUGGUUUGGCAAAAAUCCUCAGCAGCCAAACAUGGCAAAGAAACAGAGCUCUUCACUGCCGGAGAAGUAAUGGGAGAGGAGGACAGCUCUAGCACAGAAAAACAGCUUUGAGAACGCAGCUUAGGGUCUGUCAGUGCAUUCCCUUCACCAAAAUGACUGAUCUGUUCUCAAACCAGAGAAUCACCCAGAACAGAACAGCUUCCACCCAAAUAUUUUUUCUGAAUGCAUUAAUGUACUCUUUAACUAGACACCCCCCACCUUUUUUUUGUGUGUGUGUGUCCGUGCAAGGCUGUGACACAUCUCAGGAUCCCUGCGCUGACAGAUGAGCCUAUGCUUGUGUUAGGGUGAAAUUGAGCGUGUCAGACCGGGCAGAAAUGUGCUGUAAUGGCUCCAUUACUUCCUGGGGAAAUGGCAAGAAAUGCCCUCGGGUUUGUGCGGAAAGGUUGGGAGCAUAGAAGGUGGGGGACCAAAAAGGAGCAGCAGGCAGAAGAUGGUGCUGUGGCUCUCCAGGGAGCCAAAAGCAGGGAACAAUCAAUCCUCAGAAACACUCCCAAAGAACACAAAGCAGCACCGGCAUGUUUGGCAACACCGAAAAGAAAAUGUCACCACCUUGCCAAGACAGCAGAGAGAGGCACGGUGUGUGAACAAAGUAAUGAACCUGGCUUCCAGCACCGUGUCCUCGGCACAGGCUGGGAGGGGAGCAAGGCACUGCCCUGCUAAGCCCCCACGCAGCCUGCAACUCUUCCUCCCCCAUUGCAGUUUCCAAUACUGGGCUCUCAGGGGCUCAGUGGGUUAAAGUAAAGGUGAUGCAGGCAGGUGUUGGAAGGGCUUCCAAGCACUGUGCCUGGCUGUAUUCACCUCAAAGUGGACUUCUGUGCAUCCGAUGAGUGCAGACAAGCAGCCCUGAGCACCUCUGGAUCAUUACAGGGUGUCUGUCACCAUCACAGGAACCCUGCCUCUCAUAGAUGGGGUCAGUGGGAGACUAAAACAAGAAUGGGGAAGAAAAGCAAAGCAAAGACACGGUCAGAGCUUCAGGCUCCAGAAGCAAUUUGUACUCUUACUGUGGCCAUCAGCGUGCUUCAGCCACAGAAAACUGCUGAGGGUGAGAACACGCUGGCCACAACGCAUCAGCUCCUGGCGAUGUUUCAGCACGCUCGGCAGUGACCUCCUUUCACAGUGACUGUGGGCACUGCUAGCUAAUGCCACAGUCAGGAGGGUCCCUUAGCCCAUGCAGCAUCUGUGAGCCGGCAAGCACCUUUUCUUUAGUUUCCCAACUGUUGCUGAAGCGGUUUUCUCAUUGCCUUUCAUGGAGUCACGGUUUCCCAUCCUGUAUGCAGAGGAAGCCCGAGUCCCUGACCCUGCGCCAGAUCGCCCCUGGCUAUGCUGUUUCAUGUGCAGGGACACCAACAGAGGAUGAAUCUCAUUUCUACUUUUAAGAUGUUAUAGCUUGUGGCAGAGAGAUAUCAGUGAGAUGCUUCUGAAAGCAGAGGUACAAACACCAGGCAGUUUUUCUCACCAGUUGAGAACCAAAUUGGAAAAUCACAGCCACAGGAGAGGCUCUGAGCUUUCCAGCAGUACUCGUUCAGCCUCCAAGCAAAUCUUACUCAAGAACAGAAGCAAAAUUUACACCACAUUUACAAUUUUGCCUUUCGCCAUUUCUCAGCUGUUGCAUUUAAAACAAGCUCAGUAUCUUAUAAGCUCUGGGCUCAGACCUUCAGAGCCCGCAGACAACCCAAGGCUGAGAAGCUUUCUUGCCUGCACGGCAUGCGAGGCUUGGGGAGCUGCUGGCAGGCAGCCCCACCUGGCAUUGUGCGCGGGAUCUCAAGUAGAAGAGCCCAAUGUCAUGCUCUGGUUAGUCCUCCCCCGAGAAUGACAUAAGCUAAUGUGUACAGGGAUGCUUAUGCCAAAGGGCUUCAACCUAUUUCCCAGGAGAAAGCACCUGUUCAGGGAUGCUCAGAAAAGCCAAAGAAAAAAAAAAAAGUAUAUAUACAUAUAUAUGUAUAUAUAUAUUUUUUUUUAUUUUUAUUUUUUAUUUUUUUUAAACUCCAGAGAAACAGCAAUAUAGACAAGGCAAAAUAUGACUCCUAAAAAUGUCUCUUUAGCAAACAGGAAGGAAGGGCAGUUAUUUCAGUACUUGCAUGGGAAGUUUUCAUAAGCAGUGUCAGGUAACUUAGCGUACAUCCCAGUGAAGUUUAGAGUGUUAUGGAAAAUCUUGCAAAGUUGCAAGAAGCUGA